rnacentral:lncRNA from 10 species
AAAAUUGCUACAAACUUAGUGGCUUAAGACAACACAAAUUUAUUCUCUUACAGUUCUGGAGAUCAGAAUUCCUAAAUCAAGAUGUUAGCAGGACUGUUUCCCUUCCAGCGGCUCUAGAGGAGAAUCUAUUUCCUUACCUUCCUCGCUGCCAGAGGCUGCUUGCAUUCCUUGUCUUGUGGUCCCUUCCUUCCUACAUCCAUAUUUAAAACCAGCACAUCUCUCUCUUCUGUCUAUCUCUCGCUGUCUCUGUCUGUCUUUCUCUCAUGCAUACAUACACAUGCACACAUAUACCUCCUACUAUCCUAUUAUAUAGACCUUCAUUACUACCUGUGACCACCCAAAUAAUCCAGGAUAAUCUCCCAAUUUAAACAUUCUUAAUGUGAUCACAUCUUCAAAGUCUCUUUUGCCAUUUAAGGCAACAUAUUCACAAGUUUUAGAGAUUAGAAUGUGGACAUUUUAGGGAACCAGUAUUCUGUCUACUACAUCACACAAUCACAUUGCCUGUACUAAGAUGAGAGAGUCAUCUGAGAAAUAAGAAAAUACGGAAUAUAGAAAAUAAGAGAUUCAACACAGAAAAAGGAAAAGACUCUCCAUGCUGGUGGUGAAGUUGUGAUAUUCAAAUGACAACUGCACAGCAGUCCUGAUUGGGGCAGUGUGGUAUGAGAGAGAGCCAUGUCAACCGCUGUCCUUACCAUGUUUCUGCCAUUGUAACAUACUUUUAACUUGAUGGAUAUGCUUCACCAAAUAGGGAAUAAAUCUAAAUGUAGAAAGACAGAUUAAGGACCCAGAGAAUCUAACUAGAACCCAUAAGGCUAGAUAACAAAAACAAAAACCAACAGAAAUAAAUGAUGUCAAACAGCCCUGAAAGAAUCCAGAUAUUGGAAUUAUUAAACACAAAUAAUAAAACAACUAUAUUUACUAUGUUAAAGGACACAAAAAUUAUGCUUGAAAAUUUCAACAGGAAACUGGAAACUAUAACAAGCAACAGAGCAUGUUUUAAAAAGAAUCAGAUUGGAUUUGACAAUGGAAAGAAACCAUAAAUCAAGUUUAAGAUCAGUGAAUGGGUUUCCAGCAGAUAGCAAACUGGAAGAUAUAUUGAAAAUACAAUCAUAAAACACUGCGACACUGCUGGGAAUUAUAUUCGCAUAUAUGUAAUAAUGUAAACAUUGAUUAUUGAUUUGACCAACUAUUGUAAUAUAACUAUAUUGAGAAUAUUAAGGAUAGCAGAAGACAGAAUGACAUUGUAAGACAGAUAAAUUCUCAUCUACUACAAUAUGAAGCUGAUAGAUAAUAGCUAAAGAUAGUAUAUGCCUAUUAUUUACAAAUUAGGUAGAGGUGUAAAUGCCAGAGAGAGCUAAAAGCAUAAAAAAAUAGUUGUCUCUAGGAAGGAGGGAAGAAAGUAGAGAGGGAUGGGGAAGGGAAAUGCUGCAUUUUAUCAUAACCUUUUUGGUACUACUUAAUCUUUUUAAAUAUGUAUGUAUUAUUUUAACAAAAUAAAAUUAAAAUUGAAAAAUAAAGAUUAAAAAAGCUGUAGGACUGGAUGAGAUCAUAAGGUAGACAGCUAAAAAAAAAAAAGCACCAAUAUAUAAGCCUAGGUCCUUCCAAUAUUUAGAGGUCAGGUAAACGAAGAGGAACCAGCAAAGGAGACAGAGCAGCUGGAACCAUAGGAGGAGAACCAUAAAAGAAUGGUGUCCUGGAGUCCAAAGUAUAGAAAAUAUUUCAAAAAAGAGAGAAUGAUCAAUCACGCAAAGUGCUGUUAGGAAGAAUGAAAUUUGAUUAUUAAAUUUGCUAUCAUUAAGGUCAACCUUCAGGAGCAAUUUUGGUGGAAUGAAAGCCUAAUCUAAGUGGGCCCAAGAGAGUAUGAGGGUGGAAAGUAAAGAUGGCAGGAAUAGAAACUCUAUGGUAAGGAAAGGAGAAUAGAAACCAGUGGGUCAAAAGAGGGUUUUGUCUAUGUAAGUGUGAGCCUGUGUGUAUGGUUUCAAUUUUUGUUUGUUUGUUUGUUUGUUUUGUUUUUUUUGAGACGGAGUCUUGCUCUGUCGCCAGGCUGGAGUGCAGUGG